UACGGGGGGGGCAAGCGUUGUUCGGAAUUACUGGGCGUAAAGGGCUCGUAGGUGGCCCCAUAAGUCAGACGUGAAAUCCCUCGGCUCAACCGAGGAACUGCGUCUGAGACUGCGGGGCUUGAAUCCGGGAGAGGGAUGCGGAAUUCCAGGUGUAGCGGUGAAAUGCGUAGAUAUCUGGAGGAACACCGGUGGCGAAGGCGGCAUCCUGGACCGGUAUUGACACUGAGGAGCGAAAGCCAGGGGAGCAAACAGG
rnacentral:rRNA from 1 species